GGAUUACAGAGGGGAGCUCAGAAGGCCA
rnacentral:piRNA from 1 species